UACAGAGGGUGCAAACGUUGUUCGGAUUUACUGGGCGUAAAGCGCGCGCAGGCGGCGGUGCUGGCCCGGCGUGAAAGCCCCCGGCUCAACCGGGGAGGGUCGUCGGGGACCGCACCGCUUGAGGGCGGUAGGGGCUGGUGGAAUGCCUGGUGUAGUGGUGAAAUGCGUAGAGAUCAGGCGGAACACCCGUGGCGAAGGCGGCCAGCUGGGCCGUCCCUGACGCUGAGGCGCGAAGGCGUGGGGAGCGAACAGG
rnacentral:rRNA from 1 species